AAAUUGAAGAGUUUGAUCAUGGCUCAGAUUGAACGCUGGCGGCAGGCCUAACACAUGCAAGUCGAGCGGUAGCACAGGAGAGCUUGCUCUCUGGGUGACGAGCGGCGGACGGGUGAGUAAUGUCUGGGAAACUGCCUGAUGGAGGGGGGAUAACUACUGGAAACGGUAGCUAAUACCGCAUAACCUCGCAAGAGCAAAGAGGGGGGACCUUCGGGCCUCUCGCCAUCAGAUGUGCCCAGAUGGGAUUAGCUAGUAGGUGAGGUAAUGGCUCACCUAGGCGACGAUCCCUAGCUGGUCUGAGAGGAUGACCAGCCACACUGGAACUGAGACACGGUCCAGACUCCUACGGGAGGCAGCAGUGGGGAAUAUUGCACAAUGGGCGCAAGCCUGAUGCAGCCAUGCCGCGUGUGUGAAGAAGGCCUUCGGGUUGUAAAGCACUUUCAGCGGGGAGGAAGGCGGUAAGGUUAAUAACCUUAUCGAUUGACGUUACCCGCAGAAGAAGCACCGGCUAACUCCGUGCCAGCAGCCGCGGUAAUACGGAGGGUGCAAGCGUUAAUCGGAAUGACUGGGCGUAAAGCGCACGCAGGCGGUCUGUUAAGUUGGAUGUGAAAUCCCCGGGCUUAACCUGGGAACUGCAUUCAAAACUGACAGGCUAGAGUCUUGUAGAGGGGGGGUAGAAUUCCAGGUGUAGCGGUGAAAUGCGUAGAGAUCUGGAGGAAUACCGGUGGCGAAGGCGGCCCCCCUGGACAAAGACUGACGCUCAGGUGCGAAAGCGUGGGGAGCAAACAGGAUUAGAUACCCUGGUAGUCCACGCUGUAAACGAUGUCGACUUGGAGGUUGUGCCCUUGAGGCGUGGCUUCCGGAGCUAACGCGUUAAGUCGACCGCCUGGGGAGUACGGCCGCAAGGUUAAAACUCAAAUGAAUUGACGGGGGGCCCGCACAAGCGGUGGAGCAUGUGGUUUAAUUCGAUGCAACGCGAAGAACCUUACCUACUCUUGACAUCCAGAGAAUUUGCUAGAGAUAGCUUAGUGCCUUCGGGAACUCUGAGACAGGUGCUGCAUGGCUGUCGUCAGCUCGUGUUGUGAAAUGUUGGGUUAAGUCCCGCAACGAGCGCAACCCUUAUCCUUUGUUGCCAGCGAUUCGGUCGGGAACUCAAAGGAGACUGCCGGUGAUAAACCGGAGGAAGGUGGGGAUGACGUCAAGUCAUCAUGGCCCCUUACGAGUAGGGCUACACACGUGCUACAAUGGCGUAUACAAAGAGAAGCGACCUCGCGAGAGUAAGCGGACCUCAUAAAGUACGUCGUAGUCCGGAUUGGAGUCUGCAACUCGACUCCAUGAAGUCGGAAUCGCUAGUAAUCGUAGAUCAGAAUGCUACGGUGAAUACGUUCCCGGGCCUUGUACACACCGCCCGUCACACCAUGGGAGUGGGUUGCAAAAGAAGUAGGUAGCUUAACCUUCGGGAGGGCGCUUACCACUUUGUGAUUCAUGACUGGGGUGAAGUCGUAACAAGGUAACCGUAGGGGAACCUGCGGUUGGAUCACCUCCUUA
rnacentral:rRNA from 1 species